GCGGGAGUAGUUCAGUAGCAGAACGUCUCGUUGCCAACGAGAAGGUCGCGGGUGCGAAUCCCGUCUCCCGCU
rnacentral:tRNA from 1 species